rnacentral:rRNA from 1 species
CUCUGAUGUUAGCGGCGGAGGGGGUGAGUAACACGUGGAUAACCUACCUAUAAGACUGGGAUAACUUCGGGAAACCCGGAGCUAAUACCGGAUAAUAUUUUGAACCGCAUGGUUCAAAAGUGAAAGACGGUCUUGCUGUCACUUAUAGAUGGAUCCGCGCUGCAUUAGCUAGUUGGUAAGGUGAACGGCUUACCAAGGCAACGAUGCAUAGCCGACCUGAGAGGGUGAUCGGCCACACUGGAACUGAGACACGGUCCAGACUCCUACGGGAGGCAGCAGUAGGGAAUCUUCCGCAAUGGGCGAAAGCCUGACGGAGCAACGCCGCGUGAGUGAUGAAGGUCUUCGGAUCGUAAAACUCUGUUAUUAGGGAAGAACAUAUGUGUAAGUAACUGUGCACAUCUUGACGGUACCUAAUCAGAAAGCCACGGCUAACUACGUGCCAGCAGCCGCGGUAAUACGUAGGUGGCAAGCGUUAUCCGGAAUUAUUGGGCGUAAAGCGCGCGUAGGCGGUUUUUUAAGUCUGAUGUGAAAGCCCACGGCUCAACCGUGGAGGGUCAUUGGAAACUGGAAAACUUGAGUGCAGAAGAGGAAAGUGGAAUUCCAUGUGUAGCGGUGAAAUGCGCAGAGAUAUGGAGGAACACCAGUGGCGAAGGCGACUUUCUGGUCUGUAACUGACGCUGAUGUGCGAAAGCGUGGGGAUCAAACAGGAUUAGAUACCUGGUAGUCCACGCCGUAAACGAUGAGUCCUCAAGUGUUCGGGGGUUUCCGCCCCUUAGUGCUGCAGCCAACGCAUUAAGCACUCCGCCUGGGGAGUACG